rnacentral:rRNA from 1 species
CUAAAACUCAAAGGAAUUGACGGGGGCCCGCACAAGCGGCGGAGCAUGCGGAUUAAUUCGAUGCAACGCGAAGAACCUUACCAAGGCUUGACAUGAACCGGUAAUACCUGGAAACAGGUGCCCCGCUUGCGGUCGGUUUACAGGUGGUGCAUGGUUGUCGUCAGCUCGUGUCGUGAGAUGUUGGGUUAAGUCCCGCAACGAGCGCAACCCUCGUUCUAUGUUGCCAGCGCGUUAUGGCGGGGACUCAUAGGAGACUGCCGGGGUCAACUCGGAGGAAGGUGGGGACGACGUCAAAUCAUCAUGCCCCUUAUGUCUUGGGCUUCACGCAUGCUACAAUGGCCGGUACAAAGGGUUGCGAUACUGUGAGGUGGAGCUAAUCCCAAAAAGCCGGUCUCAGUUCGGAUUGGGGUCUGCAACUCGACCCCAUGAAGUCGGAGUCGCUAGUAAUCGCAGAUCAGCAACGCUGCGGUGAAUACGUUCCCGGGCCUUGUACACACCGCCCGUCAAGUCACGAAAGUUGGUAACACCCGAAGCCGGUGGCCUAACCCUUGUGGGGGGAGCCGUCGAAGGUGGGACCGGCGAUUGGGACUAAGUCGUAACAAGGUAGCCGUACCGGAAGGUGCGGCUGGAUCACCUCCU